rfam:Gossypium raimondii Chr09_contig_1502, whole genome shotgun sequence.
AAACCAUACAUUGGGAAUUUUCUAAUUAAUUCCUUGAAACACUCCCAUGCUUCAUAUAAAGUCUCAUCUUCAGAUUACCUGAACGAUGUAAUGUUAUUCCUCAACUU